rnacentral:rRNA from 1 species
CAGUCGCCGCGGUAACACGGAGGGAGCUAGCGUUAUUCGGAAUUACUGGGCGUAAAGCGCACGUAGGCGGCUUUGUAAGUUAGAGGUGAAAGCCUGGAGCUCAACUCCAGAAUUGCCUUUAAGACUGCAUCGCUUGAAUCCAGGAGAGGUGAGUGGAAUUCCGAGUGUAGAGGUGAAAUUCGUAGAUAUUCGGAAGAACACCAGUGGCGAAGGCGGCUCACUGGACUGGUAUUGACGCUGAGGUGCGAAAGCGUGGGGAGCAAACAGGAUUAGAUACCCCGGUAGUCCCUGUCUCUUAUAC